AACGGUCUAUACCUGCGGUACCUGCGGAAGGAUCAUUACUGGUAUUUUUGAGAUACUAGCGCCGGUUUUGUUAUCUCGAGAGGGAUGAUUUAACCAGCAUCAAACAGGGUGUUGGGUGGCGGUACUAAAGAGUGCUGCCACUCACGCCUAUACAACAAAACACACCAAUAACACAAUUUGUCUGAUUAAAUCAAUAUAAAAUACAACUUUCAACAACGGAUCUCUAGAUCGGAAGAGCAC
rnacentral:misc_RNA from 1 species